rnacentral:RNase_P_RNA from 1 species
UGACUGCUUUCUAUGAAAGAGGAAAGUCCGGGCUCCACAAGACGAUGGUGCCGGGUAAUACCCGGCGGGGGUGACCCUAGGGAAAGUGCCGCAGAAAGUAAACCGCCCUAAUUGAAAUUACUAAGGGUAAGGGUGAAAAGGUGAGGUAAGAGCUCACCGCUUUUUUGGUAACAAAAAAGGCAUGGUAAACCCCACCAGGAGCAAGAUCGAAUAGAGUUACAAUGGCUAGUCUUGGCCGUAACUGGGUUGGUCGCAUGAUUUGCUUGGUAACAUGCAAACUAGAUGAAUAGUCAUCAAUUUUUUCUUAAAAAUUACAGAACCCGGCUUACAAAUUAUCUG